GCUUACGGCCAUACCAGCCCAAGAACGCCUGAUCUCGGAAUCUAAAAAGGCUUGGGCCUGGUUAGUACUUGGAUGGGAGACCUCCUGGGAAUACCAGGUGCUGUAAGCU
ensembl:rRNA 5S_rRNA 5S ribosomal RNA